CUUUACUCGUCAGACGGCUCUGUUGUUGUUGUGGGAGCUCAACUGAGAAGAUUUGCUUUACAAGACGAAGAGAAAAAACAUGAAUAUGACAAACUACUUUACAAGAAAAGACGGAUUUGUAACAGUCAACAUUUCAGUUAGAGGAGGAAAAUCCUGAGCAUCUGAAACAUCUUUACCUGACUGAAAAGAAACGAUUAGAUGAAGAAGAGGAGAGAAAGCAGAAGAGAUGGAAAGAGAGAGCAGUGGAUGAAGAGAAGAAACUCAAACACAACACCUGACAUCUCUGCUGACCAAACUCAUUCAUGUCAUGAAACAAAAAUCACAACACAAUCUCAAAGAUAAACCUCACAAAAUUAUGACUGUUUAUUAUCAUCUGUCUAUCAUUUGUAUUAUUUUAAAAUUGUGUUUUGUGUUUUAUCAUUGUGUAGCUUUAUUGAAUGAACACAUAGAAGAUAAUGAGAAGAUAAAGGAGGAGCUGAGAGGAUAAAGAGAGGAAUUCAAGACAAAACUCCAAGAAGAGUGAACUCGAGCUCAAUCUACAGAUGGAUCUGUUACUGCAGAAGAUCCAAACUCAACACAAAUCAUUCAAUAACAGUAAGACUCAAAACCCUCAGGUUUAAAUUGUUUAAAACAUUGAUGUUAAAAUGCACCUUCACACAAGAAACUGUGCUGUUUAGACGGCCGUUUAAAUAAAACCACAUUUGUGUACAGUAUGAUGCUCUCUGAUAUUUUAUUUAUACUCUUGUCCAAACAGCCAUAAAAAUCAAAGUACAUUUGUAACUUCUCUCUAAAAGCAAAGCAUUUGAUAUUCAAUAAAAAACCUAUUUGAAAUAUCAAUAAAACAUCAGGCACUGUAGCUUUCGUAGCAAAAUUUGAUCACUUUGAUAUGAUUUUAAGCCUUAAUAUGAUUUCAUGACAUGAGACAGUGGGUGUGGGUAUUGAGUCACACAGUCCCUCCCACUUUGUUUGGCUCCUCCCCCACAUCAUCAUAA